rnacentral:misc_RNA from 1 species
GUAGGUGAACCUGCGGAAGGAUCAUUACCGAGUUCAUGCCCUUCGGGGUAGAUCUCCCACCCUUUGUAUACUAUACCUUUGUUGCUUUGGCGGGCCGCCUAGCUACUGGCUUCGGCUGGUAAGUGCCCGCCAGAGGAUCCAAAACCCUGAAUUAUUAGUGUCGUCUGAGUAAAAUAUUUAAUAUUUAAAACUUUCAACAACGGAUCUCUUGGUUCCC